rnacentral:rRNA from 1 species
CCUACGGGUGGCAGCAGUGAGGAAUAUUGGUCAAUGGGCGCGAGCCUGAACCAGCCAAGUCGCGUGAGGGAAGACGGUCCUAUGGAUUGUAAACCUCUUUUGUCGGGGAGCAAAAGACGCCACGCGUGGCGUUCCGAGAGUACCCGAAGAAAAAGCAUCGGCUAACUCCGUGCCAGCGGCCGCGGUAAUACGGAGGAUGCGAGCGUUAUCCGGAUUUAUGGGGUUAAAGGGGUGCGCAGGCGGAAGGUCAAGUCAGCGGUAAAAUUGAGAGGCUCAACCUCUUCGAGCCGUUGAAACUGGUUUUCUUGAGUGAGCGAGAAGUAUGCGGAAUGCGUGGUGUAGCGGUGAAAUGCAUAGAUAUCACGCAGAACUCCGAUUGCGAAGGCAGCAUACCGGCGCUCAACUGACGCUCAUGCACGAAAGUGUGGGUAUCGAACAGGAUUAGAUACCCUAGUAGUC